GGGGAGGAAGCCAGGAUGCAUUGUGGGAAUAUAAUGUGACUGUGUGUCCUAUUUUGCUGAUUGUCUGUCUUUUGUCACAGUCUCCCAUUUGGUCCCCUAGGGGAGUGUCCACCAGGUGGGAGACAUGCAUAAAUACUGGGCAGGUAGUCCUCAUUAAACAGACCACUGCUUGACCCACAACACGGAGCCUUGUCUCGUCUUUGGGGGGAUUUACUGAAUGCUGAUAGAGACUGAUUGCUAGGAG